CCUACGGGGGGCCGCAGUGAGGAAUAUUGGUCAAUGGGCGCGAGCCUGAACCAGCCAAGUCGCGUGAGGGAAGACGGUCCUAUGGAUUGUAACCCUCUUUUGUCGGGGAGCAAAAGACGCCACGCGUGGCGUUCCGAGAGUACCCGAAGAAAACGCAUCGGCUAACUCCGUGCCAGCAGCCGCGGUAAUACGGAGGAUGCGAGCGUUAUCCGGAUUUAUUGGGUUUAAAGGGUGCGCAGGCGGAAGAUCAAGUCAGCGUUAAAAUUGAGAGGCUCAACCUCUUAGAGCCGUUGAAACUGGUUUUCUUGAGUGAGUGAGAAGUAGGCGGAAUGCGUGGUGUAGCGGUGAAAUGCAUAGAUAGCACGCAGAACUCCGAUUGCGAAGGCAGCAUACCGGCGCUCAACUGACGCUCAUGCACGAAAGUGUGGGUAUCGAACAGGAUUAGAUACCCGGGUAGUC
rnacentral:rRNA from 1 species